GCAGGAUUAGCUCAGCGGUUAGAGCGUGCGAUUGCAACUAGGCAGUAAUCGCGAGGUCCUUGGUUCAAUUCCGAGAUCUUGCU